GCUGCAUAUGGUAAGUGCGGUAAACAAACAAUCCCAUUAAGAAAAAGUAUAAAUUAAAUAAUUUUACUCUGAGAAAUUUAAACGCAGAUCUUAAUCGUUUCAGUGACAACCUGUUUUAAGAUACAGCUAUGAAUUCCGUUUUCGUUUUGAUGCUGAUUGUUGGGGCUACUUUUGCUGUGCCAAGACCUGGUAGUCAUCAUACAUACGGCUACGGUUCUCACGGAUCCGGUAUAGGAAGUGGUUCGCUGUAUGGCGUAGGGUCACUCUCUGGAUCAGGGAUUGGCGGUGGAUCAACCUAUGGAAUUGGUUCACCGUAUGGAUCCGGCUUAGGCGUUGGGUCUUAUUAUGGAACAAGCUACGGAAUUGGGUCACCGUAUGGAUCCGGCUUAGGCGUUGGGUCUUCGUAUGGAACAAGCUACGGAAUUGGGUUACCGUAUGGAUCAACCUAUGGAAUUGGGUCACCGUAUGGAUCCGGCUUAGGUGGUGGUUCAGUGUACAGAUCAAGCUACGGCACUGGAUCACCGUAUGGCUCAAGCUACGGAAUUGGUUCGUCGGAUGGAUCACUGUUUGGUGGGUAUCGAUACGACCGUGACGAUGACGGCUACGGAUCUAGUUACGGCGGGAGCAAUAGAUUACCAUAUGGUAGUUAUCAAUCAGGUUACGGAUCACAGAGUAGUUACGGAACACCAUAUGGCGGCGUCUAUUCAUCCGGUUACACCAGUGGUCUUGGAUCACCAUAUAGCAGCUAUACAUCCAGUUAUGGAUCUGGCAUCGGAAGCGGAUCUCUCAACGGCGGAUCUCUCUACGGUGGAAGCAGAUACUAAUUUGCGAUUGUUAGGAGUUUGUUAAGGCGGACGUGGUCGAUGCUCUCGAUGGUUUCAGAAUAUUUGUUUAGAAAUCUAUUAAUAACCUCAGGGAUUAUGGACGUUUAUUCUGUCAACAACUGCCCAUCAUCGUACAUAUUGCCUUAUUCCUCAAAUGUUGAAGAUAAGUUUUUGGCGUUGACUUUUGUCAUUUGAAAUUACUCAAUAUGUCCAUGUAUUAAUACUUUAAUAUGUAUACAUACACAUACACUUUUUAUCGAACACAAUUAAAUCUACAUGGUCAUCAAUGACACUAGAACACCGAGAUUAAAGGCAUUUCAUGAUUAAAUUAUUUUUUUUAUAUCGUUUAUUACUGUGUCACAUAACACUUUAGAAUUUAAGUUUGUGUUUAUUGUCUGUAAAUGUUGUGUAUUUAUUAGUUAUUACUGUAUGUAUAUAUGUUGUAUUUUAUCCAAAAUAUAUUUACAUAUAAAAAAACUCAAUCAAAUGUG